CACACAUGUUAUCUUUUUCCUGCUGUCUUCCCUCCUUUGUGAGGCAGCAGCUGGGCCUGUAACUGCUUUGCCUCCCCCUGGAUUCUCCUCCAGCUCCUCCAACUCCUGGGCCAGGAAAUUCAUGGUCACCGUUUUUCCUCAGCAUGUUGUACUCCCAGUUAUAUAGUUCUUAUAUGUACGAACCACCCAGCAAGCCUUUGAAAAGAGAAAGAGGAAAGAGAAGAAAAUUCUAAUUCAACUCUCCAUAUAGCUAAACAGCUAUCCAACAGACCUAGGUGAAGUCUUCAGCUCUCUGAUUUCCCCGAAGCCAGUGCGCUGGGUCAUGGGACUGGCUGACCUCCCAGCACCACCUACCUCCUCUCUAUGAGAUGCCAUCAGAUCCCACCCAAAGGAGCCAGUCGUCCCUGUGAAACAAUAAGCAAUUCUUACGAGAUACAAGUGGACCUCUGUUACUGUGGCACAGGAAGGCUCGAUAAGAUCUUCCAGCCACAGCAUUCUUUUGUGUCAGCAGACGCAAGUGGGAUGUUCCUUCUGCAGCUCUUACGGAGCAAGAGGAAGCAGGCUUUGAAACACAAUGUUCAUUGAAAUCGGCUUUCAUCUAAGGAAUCCCAUGGUGGCUCCUGGUCCACGCGAUGUGCAUUCUGUCUGCAGCUGGGCUCUCCUGAUGCAUUUCCGUUGUUUGUUCUAGGGGUAAGGCAGCACCUUUAUGAGACUCACUCUUACUAGGUAAAGGGCAUCACAUUGUGCUAGGCAGAGCAUUCUGUGUCAGGAUGUCUCCAGUGAGUCUGGAGCCUAGAAGGAACAUUUAAAAAAAAAAAAAAAAAAACAAUCCUCAGCCAUCCUGGCUCACGGAUGAAGCACUAGCUCUGUCAGGAGAGGAACAUGAAGCCGCCCAGAUGACUCUUGGGCAGUACAUGCAUGCUUGGUGAUUUUAGGAGAAGGAAAUGUUUGUUGCUUUAGCUAUUACAGCAGGCACGAUGCCACAGGCCAUAAAUAGUGGUAAGUAACUAUGGUUUGAGUGCUGCAGGCCCAAAAGAACCUUCCCCAAAGCCAAUUGGUCUCUAUUAUUCCAAUUCUGGCUCUCAAAGGACAAAAAAUGAAGAGGAGGAAGUGAUCCACAGUGUCAAAUCAUAGGUAAGAAGUUUCUCCAUUCUGCUGUCCUAGUGGAAUAACAAUUCAUCUUCUUUUCAGGGAAAACUAUUUUGGAUUCAAUAAAGAGUCUCUCUGAUUAAGACGAGGUCUAAAUCAAUACCUGGAGAAACAAGCCAACACUGUUUAGUCCAUUUUUAUUUCUUCCUAGACACCUCAUCCUAUAUAUUGCUGCACUUCCUUCUCUGCUCCACUCCAUCUGGACUUACCAACCUAUAAUGCUAAGGUAGUUGAACAAUUAAUUCGCAAAAUGGGUAGAAGAGUGAACAUAAACCUUUUUAUUUCAUGGCAUUUGAACUCUGCAUAUAUUUUUUUUUCCUUUGGCUCUCAAAAUAAUCUGGCAAAAUUCGGUGGGCAUUGUCUAUUUCAGCAGUGGUAGGAAUCCGCAGGGAAAGAGAACUUGGUUAGAGACCUUGGAUCUCAUAAAGAACUGGCAAGCAGUACAUGAAGGAGAACUCAUGUGUGGGGUUCCUGGCUAAGGUCCUGUUGAUCAGGUUGCGUCCCCUAGACAUGUGAACAAGUGAUCAGUCUCCAAUCUAACCUUCAGGGCUGACUUUCAUCACCACCAAGGGCUAAAGUUCUACAAGUGUCUGUGUGUUUAUGGGAAGGUAGAUGUGACAGAUAUACAAGGAGAUACUGAUACUGGAAACCUUGAAAAACCUGGAGGUUAUUUCUUGGAAUCCACUGUACUCAUUCUAAUCUAAAAAGAACAGACAGACGUCAGUUUCGUAAGUGACACAGGACAUGAGAAAAUAACCCAGGCAGUUAAACUUUCCCAAGAGGGAAGUAAUAAAAAGAGUCCCAAGAAAUCAAAAUUUUAGCUCAACCCCAUGAAGAAGACCCAAAACUGCUCUCUAAUGGCUUAUUUUUAGCUGAGCUAACCAUAGAACUUUUGAAUAUUUGGAAAUUUUGUGGAGUCUUCUCUGGGAUGUUCUUGGGAAAGGAUUUGCCCAGACAUAGGUACAGCAAAAAUUUCUGGUGACAUUAUCCCCACAUCUUGACUCGAAGAGCUUAUUCCCGAUAGUAAUACAGCAUAAUGAUUCAAUCUAUAUACAUCAUGAAAUGAUAAUCAUAAUGCAUUUAAUGAACAUCCAUCAUCUCACAUAGACACAAAAUUAUCAAAAUGGAAAAAUCUGUUUCUUCCUUGUAAUGAGAACUAUUAGCUUUUACUCUUUCAACAACUUUCAUAUAUAACACACAACAGUGGUCAUUAUAUUUAUCAUGUUAUGCAUUAUAUCCCUAGUACUUAUUUAUCUUGUAACUGGAAGUUUUUAUCUUUUGACUACCUUCACCCAAUUUCCCUGACCCCAACCCACUGCCUGUAAUAACCACAAACCUUUUUUUUUUUUUUUCUGUGAGUUUGUUUGUCUUUUGGUUGGUUGGUUGGAAUGUAAUUGAUCUUCAACACUGUCUUUGUUCCUGGUACACAACAUAGUGAUUCAUCAGUCCAUUUUAAUUUAGGCAAAAAAUAUAUACUGAAUGCUUGCUGUGUGCCAGGAAUCUAUAACUUGCAACCAAUAAAAAGAACAUCACAGCAAUUAUAUAAAUAGAUGAUUUGGGUAUAAUAUAGUAUAUGCUGGGUAGUGUGAUAUAUCUUGGGGUUAGCAUUGGCCCCAACCAGGACCCUAACUUGCCUAAUGAAGGAAUAGGAAAUUCUUCUAAAGGAGGUAAUGCCUGAGAUGAUACGUAAGGCCUGAAAAGUAAUUACUGAGAUAAAGAGGAUAGGGAAGGAGAUUCUAAACAGAAGGACUAAUAUGAGAAAAGUAAGGGGGACUGAAACACAAAGCACAUUUGAAAAACUAUAAAUAACUCGAUAUUUCUGAAAUGUUGACAGUAAGGCAGAAAUGGGGCAGGGUACAUCUGUAGGGAUAAGGCACGGAGAUUAUUCUAAGAUUCUAAAGCUUCUGUUAGGAUAUAGAUAAAUAAACCAGAGGAGGAUUUAGUUCUUAGUAAUUUCUAUUCUAAGACUCCAGAAAUUAGAUUAUGUGAGGCUAGGGAUCAAAGGAACUGAAAAGGAGAGUUCCCUGGUGGCUCAGUGGGUUAAGGAUCUAGGCAUGCCCCCCCCCAAAAAAAAGGCAAGACUGAUGUUAUCCUAGGAUCAAAAGAUUUACUUUAAUUUAAAGUGAUGAAAGGCAACUACAAUUGAAGGCAGCGGUAAAACAUUAUUGACAUUUUGGUCAGUUGGUUAUGGCCUCUCAGUGGAACUUUAAAGAGCAUUUAGCUAUGUGAUUCAUUUUUCGUUCUCCCUUAGAAACCAACAGGACAUCUACAAAGGCCUGGGUCAUGGCUGCAAUUCUCUGCACCUAAGAAUAAAUGAGAAAGAAAUAAGAACACAAUAAAAGAAAGAGAAGUGGAGGAUCAAACUCUGCAGGUUAUGUGUAGCGUAUUUUUAGUGACCUCGAAUUAUGGGAUUAAAAAUGGAAUGAAAAAGAGGUGAUUUUGAAGGUAGAUGAUUGAAUACAAGCUCUUGAACUUGCUCUAUGGGAAGGUAACAAAAGCAGAGAUGACAUAAAUUCAUGUGUAUUUAGAAAAUCAGGAACAAGGAAGAAUAUUGAGACCAUUCUUUGGGUGGGGAACUGAUAGAAACUACUAUUAUUAAAAUAAUUAAAAUAAUAAGGCAAGAAAAACCUUUGUUAAAACAAUAAAUAGGAGGGUCCACAAUCCCUGGGAGAGAAGGGGCUUGAGGGUCCCUCAGUGUCUCACCUCCCCUUCCAUUCUUCCCAAACCUCAUCUCUUAAUCACUUUGCAAAGUCAAGAAGCAGACAGCUCUGGAGCAGCCAAGGCCAACUACAUAAUUUGUAGGGAUCAGGACAAAACGAAAAUGUAGAAGCGUUUAGACAAAAAGCAGAAGACAAUGUGCUAUCUGAGGUAUUAGACACAAAGCUUUUUUUCCUUUCUUUCACAGCCUCUUCCUAGACUUGUCAUGGUAUUUUAUUAAUCUUGUAAUGUAAUGCCAUUAUAAAUGAAGAAAAUAUAAACAUUUAAAUUCUUUUCGUUCAUCUUUAAAUUGUGUAUGCCAUCUGAAAUACAAAUAUAAAAGCACUUAAAUCCUGUGUAGAGUCAUCAGUAUUGCCUAAUUUGUAUUUUGUAGCUCAUACAUGAUUAUGUAUUUUGUGGAAGAGUGAAAAUGCAACAGGAUACUAGCUCAACUAUUUUAGUUCACUUCUCAGUACCCGCAUGUUCUACUAACACGCUCUGCCUUCAGCUAUAGACCAGAAGGAGGACUAAAAGGAAAAGUACUAAUGGAUCACUUUAUCUUUCUGUUUCCUUUCUGUCAUGAUUUCCAGCACACACGAUCAGGUAAAAGGGAACUAAACAUGAGUAAAAGGAUAUGAUAGAGUUCCUUGGUUGUUCGUGUUUCUUAGGAUGCCAUUGUUUUCUGUCUACAUUUGAGAGGAAAGCGUGUUCUCUCAGGGUUUUCAGACUGGCCCUCCCCGCUUACUCAGUCAUAGUCCUAACACACUUGCCUUGUAUUUACUUUGAGGUCUCGGUGAAUUUCCUGUGGUGUGCUCAGAAGUCAUGAUGAACACUCAAUGCGAAUGGGGCAAAAAGGAAUCCCAGCAAUCGUGCAUAUCUUGCUGGGAUCAUGCAUAACUUGCUGAGAAGUAUCCUAUCUUCUCUGCUCGGGCACAUGUUCCAUUGUUCUGCUUGGUUUCAUUUAAAGAAC